UACGUAGGGUGCAAGCGUUAAUCGGAAUUACUGGGCGUAAAGCGUGCGCAGGCGGUUGUGCAAGACAGAUGUGAAAUCCCCGAGCUCAACUUGGGAACUGCAUUUGUGACUGCACGGCUAGAGUGUGUCAGAGGGGGGUAGAAUUCCACGUGUAGCAGUGAAAUGCGUAGAUAUGUGGAGGAAUACCGAUGGCGAAGGCAGCCCCCUGGGAUAACACUGACGCUCAUGCACGAAAGCGUGGGGAGCAAACAGG
rnacentral:rRNA from 1 species